ensembl:rRNA 5S_rRNA 5S ribosomal RNA
CACUACAGCCAUACCACCUUGAGAAAACCCGAUCUUUCUGAUCUCAGAAGGCAAGGGGCUAUCUGAGAGCUUAUGGGUCAGGAUUAUUUGGCAGACCAACAUGGGUGACAUUGUAGUGG